CCACCCAAGGACCUCCGUACUUGGUCAUUCCCGAAACCCAACGCAGUACGAAGACGGCGGUUGACACGUGUCCGUCCAGUCCACACGUGUGCCUGUGACACAUACAAAUCCAAACUCUGGAAAAAGUAGCGUAGAGUAUCAGUUUUCGAUCAGUUUCAGUUUCUCUGUCUUUCUUUCUUUGUAAUAUUUUAAAUUAAAAAAAUUUAAAUAUUAUAAAAAACGGAGAUUCAGGUUUCUGGGUAUUUGAAUUCCCAUGUAUUUUAUUGAAACAUAUAUAGGGUCAGACUACAUUGACUUUAUUACAUUUCUUUCUCUCAAUCUUUCACAUAAAACCCACAAGUUCAGGUUCAAGUUCAAGGUUUAGAACACCCCACUCCAAUUUGAGUUUUCUUAUUUCUUUCGUCUUCUUCGAUGGGAGCUAGUUUUUCAUCCUCAAUGGCGGACGAUGAUGGUCAGGAUCAGCACGGGCUUGAUGAUUUACCGGAGAACUGCGUGGCAAUGAUUUUGAUGAACUUGGAGCCGCCAGAUGUUUGUAAAUAUGCCCGAUUGAGUAGAGUAUUUCGUGCGGCUUCGUCUGCGAAUUUCAUCUGGGAAUCUAAGUUACCCUGCAACUAUUUGUAUGUUAUGGAUAGAGUUCUCGAGAAUUCGGCCAUGGCAAAGGACAAGUUAGAGAAGAGGGAGAUCUAUUCCAGGCUUUGCAGGCGAAACUUGUUUGAUAAUGGCACUAAGGAAUUUUGGCUGGAUAAAACUACGGGUAAUAGCUUUUUGUCGAUUUCUUCAAAAGCCUUGAGGAUUACCGGGAUUGAUGAUCGGAGAUAUUGGAAUUUCAUUUCGACUGAGGAAUCUAGAUUCCAGACAGUUGCUUAUCUCCAACAAACCUGGUGGUUUGAAGUGGAAGGAGAGAUUGACUUUCAAUUCCCCAAGGGAAAAUAUAGCAUCUUCAUUCGACUCCAGCUUGGCCGGUCCUCUAAGAGACUGGGGCGUCGGGUUUCAAACUGCGAACACGUUCAUGGUUGGGGCAUAAAGCCUGUAAAGUUUCAGCUCAAUACUUCUGAUGGCCAACGUGAUGUAUCGCAGUCUUUUUUGGAGAAUCCGGGAAACUGGGUCAACUACCAUGUGGGAAGUUUUGUUGUAGAGAAUCCCACAGCUUUGAUGAAGAUCAAAUUUUCAGUAACCCAGAUUGAUUGUACUCACACCAAAGGGGGUGUUUGUGUGGACUCUGUAUUUAUACGGCCCAGUAGUGUAGGAAAAGAGGCUUAGUCAUUGUUGUAAACACUGGGCAGGGCAAGCGACUGAGCUGUAUAUAAAGGAAGUUUGCUUACAGUUAGGAAGAGUUUUUGCCGCCCAACCAGAAGAAGGUUUGUCUAAAUAUGGUCAAAAUGGGAGAGCCUGUGUUUUUGAGGAGGCAUAUCUUGGUCACAAAGUUACCAAGAGCCAGUCCAACGACUACUCCACUUAUCUAUGUAGCCCAUCAUAGCAGAUCAUCACAACUGCUGUCAAAGGUGUUAGAGUUGGUUUCCCUGCGGUAUAAGCUCCGAGAGAUCGUUGAGAGAGAGGUUAAAGCUUGCUAGGUAAGUAGGUUGCAGAGUUCAUUCCUCAGGAAUUCAAAUUUGGAAGAAAUUUGAAGAGGAUUGAUCUCAGUAGUUAUUGGAUUUCAAGGGCAACUUCUAUGAUCUUUGGAAGCAUGCAAGAUGCUUGAGUUUCUUCAUCUCUCAAAGAAAUCAACAUUUGAUGUCUUCCCCACUCGGUUAGGGACUCUUCCCUCUGUAACUACUGACAUUCAGAUUCAGAACUGUUAAAAUCAUGGAACACUUCACCAAUCACUAAGGUAGUUCUCCAGUGAAGUUGCUUUUAUACAAAUCAAUGAUCAAGAGAACUCGUUUCAUAUCAACAGAGAAAUUUCUUUUGUCAGUCUGUUGUUUGAAACAUCAUAAAACUCUGUUGAUGGUUGUGGAGUCAGCAGUGAUCCUUGAGUUGAGCUGGUAGAGAAAUGUCUUUAAGAUGGCCCAAAAGCGCCAAUAUCUCCGCGUCAAUUGCACAAAGGAAAAAUACUAACCCCUUGAACUUCAAUUGCAACCGUGCAAUUUAUUUUGAUGUAGCUCAAUAUGGUAUAGUUGGGAAAGUAUUUUUAACCAGG